GUGCUUGCUUGGGCAGCACAUAAACUGAAAUUAGAACAAGACAGAAGAUGAACAGGGCCUCUGCACAUGUAAAUUCGUGAAGCAUUCCACAUUUUU
rnacentral:snRNA from 1 species